rnacentral:piRNA from 1 species
UCACUGUGAUAAGUGAAUGAGUUGAUUUC